GCUUAACACAUGCAAGUCGAACGAGUAAGUGCUGUAGUAAUACAGGUUACUGCUAGUGGCAGACGGGUGAGUAAUACAUGGGAAUCUGCCUUAGAGCCUGGGAUAACUGUUGGAAACGACAGCUAAUACCGGAUAACACCGAGAGGUCAAAGAUUUAUCGCUUUAAGAUGAGCCCAUGCAAGAUUAGCUAGUUGGUAGGGUAAAGGCCUACCAAGGCGACGAUCAGUAGCUGGUCUGAGAGGAUGAUCAGCCUCACUGGGACUGAGACACGGCCCAGACUCCUACGGGAGGCAGCAGUGGGGAAUAUUGGACAAUGGGCGCAAGCCUGAUCCAGCCAUGCCGCGUGGGUGAUGAAGGCCCUAGGGUUGUAAAGCCCUUUCGGCGGGGAAGAUAAUGACGGUACCCGCAGAAGAAGCCCCGGCUAACUUCGUGCCAGCCGCCGCCGUAA
rnacentral:rRNA from 1 species